rnacentral:rRNA from 1 species
GAUCCUGGCUCAGAUUGAACGCUGGCGGAAUGCUUUACACAUGCAAGUCGAACGGCAGCACGGACUUCGGUCUGGUGGCGAGUGGCGAACGGGUGAGUAAUAUAUCGGAACGUACCGUGUAAUGGGGGAUAACGUAGCGAAAGUUACGCUAAUACCGCAUACGACCUGAGGGUGAAAGCAGGGGAUCGCAAGACCUUGCGUUAUACGAGCGGCCGAUGUCAGAUUAGCUAGUUGGUAGGGUAAAGGCCUACCAAGGCGACGAUCAGUAGCUGGUCUGAGAGGACGACCAGCCACACUGGAACUGAGACACGGUCCAGACUCCUACGGGAGGCAGCAGUGGGGAAUUUUGGACAAUGGGCGCAAGCCUGAUCCAGCAAUGCCGCGUGCAGGAUGAAGGCCUUCGGGUUGUAAACUGCUUUUGUACGGAACGAAAAGGUCUCUAUUAAUACUAGGGGCUCAUGACGGUACCGUAAGAAUAAGCACCGGCUAACUACGUG